GGCUUGCAUGUACAAUGCUGAUGGCACAUCUGCAUAUACAAUGCUGAUGGCACCUCUGCAUAUACAAUGCUGAUGGCACAUAAGGAAAAAAGUACCACAUAUCCAUGGGUGUGGUCAAACUAAUACUUCAAAGGUUUAUAUCUUCAAAGGUUAAAACUUGAGGAGUGUCAUUCAAAUAUAAACACACAAUCUUGCGCAUUACACCGUCAACCGCAAUUCGACCUCCACUUUUAUUCUCUUAUACUAAAGCCUGUAUUGAAUAAUAUUAAAUAAUUUAACUAACCCUUAAAAAAGAAUCACAGGUUUUGUAAAUUUGCUUAUCCAUAAGCCGUAGUUAGGCUUUGCCUAUAUUUUCCUAAACUUUCAAAUUGUUAAAAUAAAUUUACCCUUGUAAAAAAUGCAUUACACACCCCAGAUUUAUAUGGUUAUCCUCUAAUUUAACACUAGUUUCAAAGUGUGAGUUCAAUGCAUAUUUUGAGCAUGCGCGCCCCACAAAUAGGAGAAGUUUCUGCUUAACUGCAUACUUAAGUCGCGCAUGGUUAAGAACUAAGUGAAGGUCCAGUGAGGUAGCAGACCUCUUGUCCUCCUAGCAGCAAA